rnacentral:rRNA from 1 species
GUCCACGCCCUAAACGAUGUCGACUAGGUGUUGGGGAAGGAGACUUCCUUAGUACCGCAGCUAACGCGUGAAGUCGACCGCCUGGGGAGUACGGUCGCAAGAUUAAAACUCAAAGGAAUUGACGGGGACCCGCACAAGCGGUGGAUGAUGUGGAUUAAUUCGAUGCAACGCGAAAACCUUACCUACCCUUGACAUGUACGGAAGCCCGGUGAGAGCUGGGUGUGCCCGAAAGGGAGCCGUAACACAGGUGCUGCAUGGCUGUCGU